AGGACGAACGCUGGCGGCGUGCUUAACACAUGCAAGUCGAGCGGUGAUCCUCCUUCGGGAGGUGAUCAGCGGCGAACGGGUGAGUAACACGUGGGCAACCUGCCCCUCACACUGGGAUAACCUCGGGAAACCGGGGCUAAUACCAGAUACGACCUCGAGCGGCAUCUCUUGAGGUGGAAAGCUCCGACGGUGAGGGAUGGGCCCGCGGCCUAUCAGCUUGUUGGUGGGGUAAUGGCCUACCAAGGCGACGACGGGUA
rnacentral:rRNA from 1 species